UCACUCCCUAAUUACUCCAGUGAUGAGGUCUAAUCACAAGGCACUUUGGCACAGCUUGGCUGUGCCAUUCCAAAAUCACUUGCUCCAUGUGGGUUGUGGUCUCAUGCUACCAAUUUUCUCAAGUUACUCCUUUCAAUGUCAUUUGAGGUGGCCAUAAAGAAAAUAAAUGUGCAAGGAGUGAGUAGGAAGAUACUAACCAUGAAUGAAAUCAGGAUCAUGGAGAGCAAUAGGAGUCCCAGGAUCGUGAAUUACUUAGCCAGCUACCUUGUGCAUGAGGAACUCUGGCUGGUGAUGGAGUACAUGGACGGAGGCACUCUGAGAGAUCUCAUCGAC